rnacentral:rRNA from 1 species
CGCAUCUGUGCAUGCAGCAUAUCAAUAAGCGGAGGAAAAGAAACUAACAAGGAUUCCUCUUAGUAACGGCCGAGUGGAAGGCGGGAAGAGGCUCAAAUUUCGAAAUCUUCAAGGUUUUACCUUGACGAAUUGUAGUUUAAAGAAGUGUUUUCUGUUGAAGUUUUGGUAAAAGUUCUUUGGAAUAGGACGAUCAUAGAGGGGUGAGAAUCCCGUAUUUGACCAUUAUUUUCAGCUGUGUGAUACACUUUCAAAGAGUCGGAUUGUUUGGGAAUGCAGUCCAAAAUGGGUGGUAAAUUUCAUCUAAAGCUAAAUAUUGGCGAAGAGACCGAUAGCGAACAAGUACCGUGAGGGAAAGAUGAAAAGAACUUUGAAAAGAGAGUUAAACAGUACGUGAAAUUGUCAAAAGGGAAGCGUUUGACACCAGUGUUGUUUUCUCGAAAAUCAAUUAAAAAGAGUUUGAUUUUGUUGUGUAUUGACCUUAACAGCUUGCAUUUCAAUUUUCUUGCUUUUUUUAAUGCACUUUUCGUUUAACAAGUCAACAUCAGUUUCUUUUGUUGUAAAAAGGUCAUUGGAAGGUGGCUUUCUUUUCGGAGAAAGUGUUUAUAGCCUUUGACUCCUGCAAUCGGAGAGACUGAGGUCUGCAGCGUAGAUCCUUCGGGGUUAGAUACAUUUGUGCUAAGUUAUAGCUUUUUAUAGACAACUUCGUUGACUAUGAUUAGUCUUGUAGCUUACUCGCUUAUGCUAUUUUACCUACGCUUAGGAUGUUGACACACGCGCGUGCUCG